rnacentral:rRNA from 1 species
UGACGAGUUUGAUCCUGGCUCAGAUUGAACGCUGGCGGAAUGCUUUACACAUGCAAGUCGAACGGUAGAGGGGGCAACCCCUCGAGAGUGGCGAACGGGUGAGUAAUAUAUCGGAACGUGCCCAGUCGUGGGGGAUAACGUAGCGAAAGUUACGCUAAUACCGCAUACGAUCUAAGGAUGAAAGCGGGGGUAUCGCAAGAGCCUCGCGCGAUUGGAGCGGCCGAUAUCAGAUUAGGUAGUUGGUGGGGUAAAGGCUCACCAAGCCAACGAUCUGUAGCUGGUCUGAGAGGACGACCAGCCACACUGGAACUGAGACACGGUCCAGACUCCGUACGGGAGGCAGCAGUGGGGAAUAUUGGACAAUGGACGCAAGUCUGAUCCCAGCCC